rnacentral:rRNA from 1 species
CCCUUAGAUGUUCUGGGCCGCACGCGCGCUACAAUGAUGAAUUCAACGAGUUUAUAACCUUGGUUGAAAAGCCUGGGUAAUCUUUUGAACUUUCGUCGUGAUGGGGCUAGACCCUUGCAAUUAUUGGUCUCCAACGAGGAAUUCCUAGUAAACGCAAGUCAUCAGCUUGCAUUGAUUACGUCCCUGCCCUUUGUACACACCGCCCGUCGCUCCUACCGAUUGAAUGCUCAGGUGAGCCAUUCGGACUUUCAUCAUGCUGGUUUCCAGUUUUGAUGAAGGAAAGUCUUGCGAACCUUAUCAUUUAGAGGAAGGAGAAGUCGUAACA